GAUGAAGAACGCAGCGAAAUGCGAUAAGUAAUGUGAAUUGCAGAAUUCAGUGAAUCAUCGAAUCUUUGAACGCACAUUGCGCCCGCCAGUAUUCUGGCGGGCAUGCCUGUUCGAGCGUCAUUUCAACCAUCAAGCCCUGCUUGCGUUGGGGUCCUGCGGCUGCCCGCAGGCCCUGAAAACCAGUGGCGGGCUCGCUAGUCACACCGAGCGCAGUAAUACAUCUCGCUUUGGGCGUGCGGCGGGUUCUUGUCGUUAAACACCCCCUUUUUACCAAGGUUGACCUCGGAUCAGGUAGGAAUACCCGCUGAACUUAAGCAUAUCAAUAAGCGGAGGA
rnacentral:misc_RNA from 1 species